rnacentral:rRNA from 1 species
GACGGGUAGCCGGCCUGAGAGGGCGACCGGCCACACUGGGACUGAGACACGGCCCAGACUCCUACGGGAGGCAGCAGUGGGGAAUAUUGCACAAUGGGNGAAANCCUGAUGCAGCGACGCCGCGUGNGGGAUGACGGCCUUCGGGUUGUAAACCNCUUUCAGCAGGGAAGAAGCCUUUNNGNGNGACCNUGCCUANAAAACACC